rnacentral:lncRNA from 1 species
AAGAAGACUGAAAUCUCUGAGGAUGAUUUUCUGGCCCGGAUGAUAGAUAUUUCGAAAGAACAAUCUGAUAUGGCCCCGCUUUAAUACAAGCUCGACGUAUUUCGUCCCGCUCAUUCACAAGAUAAUCCCAUAUUUGUUGACGUAAUCCAGGAUCACGCUGUAAAGAGUUCAACUUAUCAUCUUUUCUUGAUUCAAUUCGUGGAGAUUUAGGAGGAUGCUGCUCUUGGGCAAGGGUUGAACGUUCAACAUUAAUUUGACAUGGAGUCAAAGACGUUGGACUUUCUGAUGCAUCUUUUCUCUUAAAGAAUGCAUCUAGAGUCUUUUGUGGCUUAGCCAUAAUAUGAAGAAAUUUUUUUUUUUUUUUUAUAAAUAAAGGUUACAAGACUAUUUACAAUGCAAUGACAAAGAAUUAUUAUUUAAAACAUUAAGCAGACAUUUUUUAAUUUCUAAUUUAGCUUUGAAUUCCAUUCGACUUAUAGUGUAUCAUUGACCAAUUUGAUCAUUUUAAUACAAUUUUACUUAUCCUAAAAAAAAUAUACAUAAUAUGAAUAUAAUUGAAGACGCAAAACUGUAGUUCUGCAAAAGUACAAGAACAGAACAUUAUAAAAAAAUAAAGCCAAAAAACUUUUCUUGAAGAAGUAAGAAUGACGAAUAAUAACUAGAAGCAUUCCAGUAUUCCACGAUGGGACAUUGGGACUGAAAAAUUAGUUGGCCACUCUUAAUUAUUUUCUAGCAAUAACGAUAGAAAAUUGGAAAAUCAUUGUUCAUUAUUCAAGUUCAAGAAUCAAGAAGCAAGACAAAUACAAACUAAUAUUAACAAAAUCAUUGUUCAAGAUCAAGAUUUACCUUGAAUUGAUAAGUUGUUUGGUGAUUCGUUAGUCAAUCAAGCAUUACCCAUAUAUUUCAACUUCCUUAUUAACGGUAAACUUGUAUUUGUAUCUUAUUCUUCUUCUUCAAGACUUU